AUUGAACGCUGGCGGCGUGCUUAACACAUGCAAGUCGAGCGGUAACGCGGGGGCAACCCUGGCGACGAGCGGCGAACGGGUGCGUAAUGCAUGGGAAUCUGCCUGAUAGUGGGGAAUAACCCGGGGAAACUCGGGCUAAUGCCGCAUACGACCUACGGGUGAAAGCGGGGGACCGUAAGGCCUCGCGCUAUCGGAUGAGCCCAUGUCGGAUUAGCUAGUUGGUAGGGUAACGGCCUACCAAGGCUACGAUCCGUAGCUGGUCUGAGAGGACGGCCAGCCACACUGGGACUGAGACACGGCCCAGACUCCUACGGGAGGCAGCAGUGGGGAAUAUUGGACAAUGGGGGAAACCCUGAUCCAGCGACGCCGCGUGUGUGAAGAAGGCCUGCGGGUUGUAAAGCACUUUCGGUGGGAACGGAAAUAUGCCGGGCAAUACCCCGGCAGGCUGACGUUACCCAAUGAAGAAGCACCGGCUAACUCUGUGCCAGCAGCCGCGGUAAU
rnacentral:rRNA from 1 species